AUUGAACGCUGGCGGCAUGCCUUACACAUGCAAGUCGAACGGCAGCACGGGAGCAAUCCUGGUGGCGAGUGGCGAACGGGUGAGUAAUAUAUCGGAACGUGCCCAGUAGUGGGGGAUAACUACUCGAAAGAGUGGCUAAUACCGCAUACGACCUGAGGGUGAAAGCGGGGGAUCGCAAGACCUCGCGCUAUUGGAGCGGCCGAUAUCAGAUUAGCUAGUUGGUGGGGUAAAGGCCUACCAAGGCAACGAUCUGUAGUUGGUCUGAGAGGACGACCAGCCACACUGGGACUGAGACACGGGCCCGACUCCUACGGGAGGCAGCAGUGGGGAAUUUUGGACAAUGGGCGCAAGCCUGGUCCAGCAAUGCCGCGUGCAGGAAGAAGGCCUUCGGGUUGUAAACUGCUUUUGUCAGGGAAGAAAUCCUCUAGGUUAAUACCCUUGGGGGGAUGACGGUACCUGAAGAAUAAGCACCGGCUAACUACGUGCCAGCAGCCGCAGUAAUAC
rnacentral:rRNA from 1 species